GAUGAACGCUGGCGGCGUGCUUAACACAUGCAAGUCGAACGGAAAGGCUCCUGCUUGCAGGGGUACUCGAGUGGCGAACGGGUGAGUAACACGUGGGUGAUCUGCCCUGCACUUCGGGAUAAGCCUGGGAAACUGGGUCUAAUACCGGAUAGGACGAUGGGUUGGAUGCCAUUGUGGAAAGUUUUUUCGGUGUGGGAUGAGCUCGCGGCCUAUCAGCUUGUUGGUGGGGUAAUGGCCUACCAAGGCGUCGACGGGUAGCCGGCCUGAGAGGGUGUACGGCCACAUUGGGACUGAGAUACGGCCCAGACUCCUACGGGAGGCAGCAGUGGGGAAUAUUGCACAAUGGGCGCAAGCCUGAUGCAGCGACGCCGCGUGGGGGAUGACGGCCUUCGGGUUGUAAACUACUUUCGCUAGGGACGAAGCGAAAGUGACGGUACCUGGAGAAGAAGCACCGGCUAACUACGUG
rnacentral:rRNA from 1 species